UACGUAGGGGGCAAGCGUUGUUCGGAAUUACUGGGCGUAAAGGGCGCGUAGGCGGCACGACAAGUCGGAAGUGAAAGCCCGGGGCUCAACCCCGGAAUGUCUUUCGAAACUGUCGAGCUAGAGUGCAGAAGAGGCAACUGGAAUUCCCAGUGUAGCGGUGAAAUGCGUAGAUAUUGGGAAGAACACCUGAGGCGAAGGCGGGUUGCUGGGCUGACACUGACGCUGAGGCGCGAAAGCCAGGGGAGCAAACAGG
rnacentral:rRNA from 1 species